UUAUAGGAACCAGACAGAAAAAGAAUGCUUUCAGUACAUCAAACCAUUGUGCAUGGACUUACAUAUGAAUUGCAUUGAUUCAUCAUUGCAAUCAAUGUAUGAAUUACAUUGAUUUUUUUUUUUUAUCUUUUGUAAAGUUAAUUAACUUAAAAGAUACUAAAAUUAACUUUACAAAAGAUAAAAAAAAGAGGGGCCCAAAUCUAGAUGCUCCUGAAAAAUCUAGAGAUGUGGGACUUAAAAUUGAAUUUGGAUCUUCCAAGAUGCUUUACCAUAUGACUAUGACUUACAUGAUUAUUCUUUAAUAUAACUAUUUUUAAUGUUAAGUCUUUGUGACUCACUAGUUCUGUAUGAAAUUGGUCUG
rnacentral:lncRNA from 1 species